UACGUAGGGGGCAAGCGUUUGUCCGGAAUCAUUGGGCGUAAAGCGCGUGUAGGCGGCUUCGUAAGUCCGUUGUGAAAGUCCAGGGCUCAACCCUGGAAUGCCGAUGGAUACUGCGGAGCUAGAGUCCGGAAGAGGCGAGUGGAAUUCCUGGUGUAGCGGUGAAAUGCGCAGAUAUCAGGAGGAACACCAAUGGCGAAGGCAGCUCGCUGGGACGGUACUGACGCUGAGACGCGAAAGCGUGGGGGAGCAAACAG
rnacentral:rRNA from 1 species